AUGUAUUUACAUUUUAUAUAGGUUAUUAUAACUGAAGAACAACAGGUGGGGGAGACGAUCAAAGCUACAGAGAAUGAUGAAUCUGUAGAAGGAAGCACGGGUCAGAUAGGUGACAAUAUGGUUCUGCGAAAGCUGCUUCGGGGUCCGAGGUAUUUUGACCCACCAGGUAAUAGUUGGGGAGCCUGUUUCAACUGUGGUGAGGAAGGUCACGCCGCUGUGAACUGUUCAGCGGCAAAGCGGAAGAAACCAUGCUAUGUUUGCGGUGGUUUGGG